rnacentral:rRNA from 1 species
UACGAAGGGGGGCUAGCGUUGCUCGGAAUCACUGGGCGUAAAGGGUGCGUAGGCGGGUCUUUUAAGUCAGGGGUGAAAUCCUGGAGCUCAACUCCAGAACUGCCUUUGAUACUGAAGAUCUUGAGUUCGGGAGAGGUGAGUGGAACUGCGAGUGUAGAGGUGAAAUUCGUAGAUAUUCGCAAGAACACCAGUGGCGAAGGCGGCUCACUGGCCCGAUACCUGACGCUGAGGCACGAAAGCGUGGGGAGCAAACAGGG